UCUGUUUCACGGAUGGCUUCUCAAUGAUCUGUUUGCACAUUCUUUUCCUGCUUGGUAAUUAGCACCAGCUGUCUCAACUUAAAAGGAAGGAAUCCCUUUGAAAUCCUCGCUAUCCUCCGUGAAAUGUGCUACUGAAACGUGCUAAUUAGUAACUGGACUUAGGACAACACAGACAUGUGUUUCCUGCCGGUCAAGAACCUACCCUGGCAUUCCUGCUGCCAUCACAGCAGUGAUUAUUGACAACCCAGAGGCUGCUGCAGCAAUAAUCUUCACCCCAACUCUUCUCAUAUUCUUGCCUUACUGGCUCACCAUUUAAAGUCUUGGGGUGGAAGACUCAGCUGCUCCUCAGACCCAGGAUCUUCAUGGCUUUUUCCAGAGGCCGGGAGUUCCCACUCAUCCUGCUUUUCAUCUUCCACAUGAUUCACGUUGUGUGAAGCUUUAACUCUGGGUCCCCAGGAGAACAUUUUAUUCUGCAGCCAUUUGU